UUUUCUCGAUGUGGACCAAGCUCCGACUUCCUUUUUAGCUUUGGCUCGGAAGAGGUCGGCCUUUGAGCCCGUAUUGGAAGGGGAUCUUGGUUUUUUUUAUUCUAAAAGAAACCCCAGGAGUUACGUCUUAUUCCCGAGGAGAUGUUUGAUCUCCCUAGUCUAGGGACUUCUUGUAAGGGCCCCUUAUUUAUGGAAUGGGUAAUGUGUUAAAGUAUACCAACUGAACUUCAACUUCUACUUGGUUGAUUAAUUCAGGGGCAGUGCUGGAACAUAAUGUU
rnacentral:lncRNA from 1 species